UCGGGAAUUUUGGGCAAUGGGCGAAAGCCUGACCCAGCAAUGCCGCGUGUGUGAAGAAGGCCUGCGGGUUGUAAAGCACUUUUGGCAGGGAUGAAAAGCGCUGGAUUAAUAACCCAGUGUGUUGACCUAACCUGCAGAAGAAGCACCGGCUAACUCUGUGCCAGCAGCCGCGGUAAUACGUAGGGACCAAGCGUUGUUCGGAUUUACUGGGCGUAAAGGGCGCGUAGGCGGCAAUUCAAGUCAUCUGUGAAAUCUCCGGGCUUAACUCGGAACGGUCAGAUGAUACUGCUUUGCUAGAGUGCAGAAGGGGCAAUCGGAAUUCUUGGUGUAGCGGUGAAAUGCGUAGAUAUCAAGAGGAACACCUGAGGUGAAGACGGGUUGCUGGGCUGACACUGACGCUGAGGCGCGAAAGCCAGGGGAGCAAACGGGAUUAGAUACCCAUGUAGUCCCUGAGCGGGC
rnacentral:rRNA from 1 species